rnacentral:rRNA from 1 species
UACAGAGGGUGCAAGCGUUAAUCGGAAUUACUGGGCGUAAAGCGUGCGCAGGCGGCUUGCCAAGUCAGAUGUGAAAGCCCCGGGCUCAACCCGGGAACGGCGUUUGAAACUGGCAGGCUAGAGUUUGGCAGAGGGGGGUGGAAUUCCACGUGUAGCAGUGAAAUGACGUAGAGAUGUGGAGGAACACCGAUGGCGAAGGCAGCCCCCUGGGCCAAAACUGACGCUGAGGAGCGAAAGCGUGGGGAGCGAACGGG